rnacentral:rRNA from 1 species
AAUAACCUACGGGGGGCAGCAGUGAGGAAUAUUGGUCAAUGGGCGCAAGCCUGAACCAGCCAAGUCGCGUGAGGGAUGACGGUCCUAUGGAUUGUAAACCUCUUUUGUCGGGGAGCAAGGCCCGCCACGUGUGGCGGGAAGGAGAGUACCCGGAGAAAAAGCAUCGGCUAACUCCGUGCCAGCAGCCGCGGUAAUACGGAGGAUGCGAGCGGUAUCCGGAUUUAUUGGGUUUAAAGGGUGCGUAGGCGGAAGGGUAAGUC